CCCUUAGAUGUUCUGGGCCGCACGCGUGCUACACUGAGUGGAUCAGCGGGUCAGGUUGCGCGAAAGUGUUUCCUAAUCUUGAAAUCCGCUCGUGAUGGGGAUUGACGGUUGCAAUUUUCUGUCAUGAACGAGGAAUACCUUGUAAGCGCGGGUCAUCAUCCCGCGCUGAAUACGUCCCUGCCCUUUGUACACACCGCCCGUCGCUCCUACCGAUUGAGUGGUCCGGUGAGGCUUUGGGAUCUGAGCAAAGAGAGCGUUUCGCUCGUUUUGCCCGGAAAACUCAGUCGAACCUUAUCAUUUAGAGGAAGGAGAAGUCGUAACA
rnacentral:rRNA from 1 species